UACAGAGGUCUCAAGCGUUGUCCGGAAUCAUUGGGCGUAAAGCGCGCGUAGGCGGCCAGAUAAGUCCGGUGUGAAAGUCACAGGCUCAACCUGUGAAUGCCGCUGGAAACUGUCUGGCUUGAGUCCGGAAGGGGCGAGUGGAAUUCCUGGUGUAGCGGUGAAAUGCGCAGAUAUCAGGAGGAACACCAAUGGCGAAGGCAGCUCGCUGGAACGGUACUGACGCUGAGGCGCGAAAGCGUGGGGAGCGAACAGG
rnacentral:rRNA from 1 species